rnacentral:rRNA from 1 species
CAGCCGCCACGGGAAUACGGAGGGGGCUAGCGUUGUUCGGAAUUACUGGGCGUAAAGCGCACGUAGGCGGAUCAGUCAGUCAGGGGUGAAAUCCCGGGGCUCAACCCCGGAACUGCCUUUGAUACUGCUGGUCUUGAGGUCGAGAGAGGUGAGUGGAAUUCCGAGUGUAGAGGUGAAAUUCGUAGAUAUUCGGAGGAACACCAGUGGCGAAGGCGGCUCACUGGCUCGAUACUGACGCUGAGGUGCGAAAGCGUGGGGAGCGAACAGGAUUAGAUACCCCAGUAGUCCCUGUCUCUUAUAC